AUAAAAGUGGCAUGGAAGAGCUGCAGCCUAGAGGGGGACAGGUGUGAGAGGCCAUAAUGAGUGAGUAAGUCCUGUAGGCGGUGGGGUGACUUCACUGUCGUUGGUUGGCCAAAGGUAAGUUUGGAACUUUCUUGGGCUAAGAGAGAAGCAGCCACCAGAGCACGUAAACAUGUAGGCCAGCCUCGGACUGUGUAAUCAAGCUGUUUAGACAGGUCUCCCUUCAGAGUUCCAGCCACAUAUUCCCCUUCUCAGCGGGAACCUGCCUAUGCUGUCUCACAGACACCAACGCUGAACUGGUGGUCUCUCCCACACAUUUACUCCUUUCCCAAAUAUUCACCAUUUUUCACCACAGUUUUGAUUACUACUUGUAUAUACAUGCAGACCUGCAUACACGUGUUCUUAUGUGAGGAAAUAUAUAAAAAUGUUUAUAUAUGUGUGUGUUUACACAUAUAAGGCAGAAGCCUUAGCAUUUUAUUUUGUGCUGUAUCUCUAGUGCCUGCAGUAGUGGCUGAUGUAAAACAGAUACUCAAUAAAUAUUUGUCAAAUGGACAAAUUUCCUGCUGGAACAAUAAUUGGGGCCAGAGCAAUGCAGUGUAUUGGUUGCUUAUAUCUUGGUC
rnacentral:lncRNA from 1 species